rnacentral:rRNA from 1 species
AGUGAACGCUGGCGGCGUGCUUAACACAUGCAAGUCGAACGAGAACGGGUUAUAGCUUGCUAUAAUGUCAGCUAAGUGGCGNACGGUGAGUAAUGUAUAGGUAAUAUGCCUCUUACUAAGGGAUAACAAAUGGAAACGUUUGCUAAUACCUUAUACUCCUUAUUAACAGAAGUUAAUAAGGGAAAGAUUUAUUGGUAAGAGAUUAGCCUGUAUUGUAUCAGUUAGUUGGUUAGGUAAAGGCUGACCAAGGCGACGAUCGGUAGCUGGUCUGAGAGGAUGAUCAGCCACACUGGAACUGAGACACGGUCCAGACUCCUACGGGAGGCAGCAGUGGGGAAUAUUGGACAAUGGGCGCAAGCCUGAUCCAGCAAUUCCGCGUGGGUGAAGAAGGUCUUCGGAUUGUAAAGCCCUUUCGUUGGGGACGAUGAUGACGGUACCCAAAGAAGAAGCCCCGGCUAACUUCGUG